UCCGGUUUGGCACCGGCAGUCCCCCCAGAGUCCUCAGCCUAACCCGUUAGCAACUGGGGGCGGGGGUUGCGCUCGUUGCGGGACUUAACCCAACAUCUCACGACACGAGCUGACGACAGCCAUGCAGCACCUGUGCUGGGGCUCCGAAGAGCGCCGACCGUUUCUGGCCGGCUCCCCCAGCAUGUCAAGCCCAGGUAAGGUUCUUCGCGUUGCGUCGAAUUAAACCACAUGCUCCACCGCUUGUGCGGGCCCCCGUCAAUUCCUUUGAGUUUCAGCCUUGCGGCCGUACUCCCCAGGCGGGGCACUUAAUGCGUUAGCGCCGGCACCCGGAGGGUCGCUCCCCCGGGCACCUAGUGCCCAUCGUUUACGGCGUGGACUAC
rnacentral:misc_RNA from 1 species